rnacentral:rRNA from 1 species
UUGAAAGGGAAACGAUUGAAGUCAGUCGUACCAGCGGGAAAUCAACCUUUCGGGUGGGAUUUUCGGAGUUUUGAAGAGUGUUAAAACCUUUGAGAUUUCAAAAUGUUUGCUCUUUUGGUGUACUUUCUCGUAGGUAGGUUAACAUCGAUUUUGAUCAUCAUAAAAGGAUUGGAGGAAUGUAGCUUCGAUCUCGUAUUGAAGUGUUAUAGCCUUUGGUAAAUGUGAUGAUUAGGAUCGAGGAUUGCAACGAAUACCCUUUUGGGCUAUCCGCCUGAUCUCUGAUACGUGGCCUUGGUAUUGAAAGCGUGCUUACGAUAUUAAGGUAUUACGGUCAAAAGGUUAGAACGGAUUACAUUCGUUAAGGAUGUUGACGUA